rnacentral:rRNA from 1 species
GUUGAACGCUGGCGGCGGGCCUAACACAUGCAAGUCGAGCGGAUGAAGGCUGCUUGCUCCUGGUUUCCGCGGCGGACGGGUGAGUAAUACCUAGGAAUCUCCCUGGCUGGGGGGGGUGACGACCGGAAGCGGCCGCGAAUACCGCCUACGUCCUGCGGGAGCAGGUUGGGGGUCUUCGGACCGCACGCUAGCAGAUGAGUCUAGGUCGGAUUAGCUAGUUUGUGGGGUAAAGGCCUACCAAGCCGACGAUCCGUGACUGGUCUGCGAGGAGGAUCAGUCACACGGGAACUGAGACACGGUCCAUACUACUAAGGGAGGCAGCAGUGGGGAAUAUUGGACAAUGGGCGAAAGCCUGAUCCAGCCAUGCCGCGUGUGUGAAGAAGGUCUUCGGAUUGUAAAGCACUUUAAGUUGGGAGGAAGGGCAGUAAGUUAAUACCUUGCUGUUUUGACGUUACUAACAGAAGAAGCACCGGCUAACUUCGUG